GCACUGCUGAGGAGUCCUCCAAUAGGACGGAACAGCUGUCCAGUGU
rnacentral:hammerhead_ribozyme from 1 species